rnacentral:rRNA from 2 species
GGGUUGUGAGGUUAAGCGACUAAGCGUACACGGUGGAUGCCCUGGCAGUCAGAGGCGAUGAAGGGCGUGCUAAUCUGCGAUAAGCGCCGGUAAGGUGAUAUGAACCGUUAUAACCGGCGAUACCCGAAUGGGGAAACCCAGUGUGAUUCGUCACACUAUCAUUAACUGAAUCCAUAGGUUAAUGAGGCGAACCGGGGGAACUGAAACAUCUAAGUACCCCGAGGAAAAGAAAUCAACCGAGAUUCCCCCAGUAGCGGCGAGCGAACGGGGAGGAGCCCAGAGCCUGAAUCAGCAUGUGUGUUAGUGGAAGCGUCUGGAAAGGCGCGCGAUACAGGGUGACAGCCCCGUACACAAAAGCGCAUGUGCUGUGAGCUCGAUGAGUAGGGCGGGACACGUGGUAUCCUGUCUGAAUAUGGGGGGACCAUCCUCCAAGGCUAAAUACUCCUGACUGACCGAUAGUGAACCAGUACCGUGAGGGAAAGGCGAAAAGAACCCCGGCGAGGGGAGUGAAAAAGAACCUGAAACCGUGUACGUACAAGCAGUGGGAGCCCCACCACUAAGCCAGUGGUGAACUCCACAUACGCAUCCUUUGCUGAGGAUACGGUUAACGGAGCGAAAGCGACGUUCAACCUCAAAAGAAGCAGAGGGGGCUUAGUGGUGGGGUGACUGCGUACCUUUUGUAUAAUGGGUCAGCGACUUAUAUUCUGUAGCAAGGUUAACCGAAUAGGGGAGCCGGAGGGAAACCGAGUCUUAAUUGGGCGUUAAGUUGCAGGGUAUAGACCCGAAACCCGGUGAUCUAGCCAUGGGCAGGUUGAAGGUUGGGUAACACUAACUGGAGGACCGAACCGACUAAUGUUGAAAAAUUAGCGGAUGACCUGUGGCUGGGGGUGAAAGGCCAAUCAAACCGGGAGAUAGCUGGUUCUCCCCGAAAGCUAUUUAGGUAGCGCCUCGUGAAUUCAUCUCCGGGGGUAGAGCACUGUUUCGGCUAGGGGGCCAUCCCGGCUUACCAACCCGAUGCAAACUGCGAAUACCGGAGAAUGUUAUCACGGGAGACACACGGCGGGUGCUAACGUCCGUCGUGAAGAGGGAAACAACCCAGACCGCCAGCUAAGGUCCCAAAGUCAUGGUUAAGUGGGAAACGAUGUGGGAAGGCCCAGACAGCCAGGAUGUUGGCUUAGAAGCAGCCAUCAUUUAAAGAAAGCGUAAUAGCUCACUGGUCGAGUCGGCCUGCGCGGAAGAUGUAACGGGGCUAAACCAUGCACCGAAGCUGCGGCAGCGACGCUUAUGCGUUGUUGGGUAGGGGAGCGUUCUGUAAGCCUGCGAAGGUGGCCUGUGAGGGUUGCUGGAGGUAUCAGAAGUGCGAAUGCUGACAUAAGUAACGAUAAAGCGGGUGAAAAGCCCGCUCGCCGGAAGACCAAGGGUUCCUGUCCAACGUUAAUCGGGGCAGGGUGAGUCGACCCCUAAGGCGAGGCCGAAAGGCGUAGUCGAUGGGAAACGGGUUAAUAUUCCCGUACUUGGUGUUACUGCGAAGGGGGGACGGAGAAGGCUAUGUUGGCCGGGCGACGGUUGUCCCGGUUUAAGCGUGUAGGUGUGUGUUCCAGGUAAAUCCGGUUCACUUUAACACUGAGGCGUGACGACGAGGCACUACGGUGCUGAAGCAACAAAUGCCCUGCUUCCAGGAAAAGCCUCUAAGCAUCAGGUAACAUCAAAUCGUACCCCAAACCGACACAGGUGGUCAGGUAGAGAAUACCAAGGCGCUUGAGAGAACUCGGGUGAAGGAACUAGGCAAAAUGGUGCCGUAACUUCGGGAGAAGGCACGCUGACACGUAGGUGAAGUGAUUUACUCACGGAGCUGAAGUCAGUCGAAGAUACCAGCUGGCUGCAACUGUUUAUUAAAAACACAGCACUGUGCAAACACGAAAGUGGACGUAUACGGUGUGACGCCUGCCCGGUGCCGGAAGGUUAAUUGAUGGGGUCAGCGCAAGCGAAGCUCCUGAUCGAAGCCCCGGUAAACGGCGGCCGUAACUAUAACGGUCCUAAGGUAGCGAAAUUCCUUGUCGGGUAAGUUCCGACCUGCACGAAUGGCGUAAUGAUGGCCAGGCUGUCUCCACCCGAGACUCAGUGAAAUUGAACUCGCUGUGAAGAUGCAGUGUACCCGCGGCAAGACGGAAAGACCCCGUGAACCUUUACUAUAGCUUGACACUGAACAUUGAGCCUUGAUGUGUAGGAUAGGUGGGAGGCUUUGAAGCGUGGACGCCAGUCUGCGUGGAGCCGACCUUGAAAUACCACCCUUUAAUGUUUGAUGUUCUAACGUGGACCCGUGAUCCGGGUUGCGGACAGUGUCUGGUGGGUAGUUUGACUGGGGCGGUCUCCUCCUAAAGAGUAACGGAGGAGCACGAAGGUUGGCUAAUCCUGGUCGGACAUCAGGAGGUUAGUGCAAUGGCAUAAGCCAGCUUGACUGCGAGCGUGACGGCGCGAGCAGGUGCGAAAGCAGGUCAUAGUGAUCCGGUGGUUCUGAAUGGAAGGGCCAUCGCUCAACGGAUAAAAGGUACUCCGGGGAUAACAGGCUGAUACCGCCCAAGAGUUCAUAUCGACGGCGGUGUUUGGCACCUCGAUGUCGGCUCAUCACAUCCUGGGGCUGAAGUAGGUCCCAAGGGUAUGGCUGUUCGCCAUUUAAAGUGGUACGCGAGCUGGGUUUAGAACGUCGUGAGACAGUUCGGUCCCUAUCUGCCGUGGGCGCUGGAGAACUGAGGGGGGCUGCUCCUAGUACGAGAGGACCGGAGUGGACGCAUCACUGGUGUUCGGGUUGUCAUGCCAAUGGCACUGCCCGGUAGCUAAAUGCGGAAGAGAUAAGUGCUGAAAGCAUCUAAGCACGAAACUUGCCCCGAGAUGAGUUCUCCCUGAGACUUUAGGUCUCCUGAAGGAACGUUGAAGACGACGACGUUGAUAGGCCGGGUGUGUAAGCGCAGCGAUGCGUUGAGCUAACCGGUACUAAUGAACCGUGAGGCUUAACCUUACAACGCCGAAGCUGUU